rnacentral:tRNA from 1 species
GGGGAUUUAGCUCAGUGGCAUAAGCACCUGCCUUGCAAGCAGGCAGUUGUCAGUUCAAUUCCCG